GCAAGCUGGAACGGGCUAAGCGGGGGAAAGAGCUUGCUACUGGACCUAUGUCGGCGGACGGGUGAGUAAUGCUUAGGAAUCUGCCUAUUAGUGGGGGACAACAUUCCGAAAGGAAUGCUAAUACCGCAUACGUCCUACGGGAGAAAGCAGGGGACCUUCGGGCCUUGCGCUAAUAGAUGAGCCUAAGUCGGAUUAGCUAGUUGGUGGGGUAAAGGCCUACCAAGGCGACGAUCUGUAGCGGGUCUGAGAGGAUGAUCCGCCACACUGGGACUGAGACACGGCCCAGACUCCUACGGGAGGCAGCAGUGGGGAAUAUUGGACAAUGGGGGGAACCCUGAUCCAGCCAUGCCGCGUGUGUGAAGAAGGCCUUAUGGUUGUAAAGCACUUUAAGCGAGGAGGAGGCUACUAGUAUUAAUACUACUGGAUAGUGGACGUUACUCGCAGAAUAAGCACCGGCUAACUCUGUGCCAGCAGCCGCGGUAAUACAGAGGGUGCGAGCGUUAAUCGGAUUUACUGGGCGUAAAGCGUGCGUAGGCGGCCAUUUAAGUCAAAUGUGAAAUCCCCGAGCUUAACUUGGGAAUUGCAUUCGAUACUGGAUGGCUAGAGUAUGGGAGAGGAUGGUAGAAUUCA
rnacentral:rRNA from 1 species